GCUGCUGCCACCGCCGCUGCUGCCGCCACUGCUACUGCUGCCACCGCCGCUGCUGCCGCCACUGCCACUGCCACUGCCUCCCUGAGGGGCAGGAAGGGACCAGAGUGAAGAUUGACCGCCUCCCCCCUCCCCUCCCUCUCUUGCUGGGGCCGGUUCCCUGCACCCGGUGCCUCCGCCCGCCCGUCCUCUUACCCCGGAGUGGCCGGAGCUGCCGCCCGAGCCGGAUGGCGGGGGGUUAGUGCACUGCGGAGGGAAGUUUCCAGGGACAGCUUUUCUAAGUCACUACCUCAUUCACUCCGUAAGGAUUUAUUGGGUACCUGCUGUGUGGCACACCUGUUCUAGGCGCAGGGGAUAGAGCGUGGAAGAGGAUCGCCUGAUCGCUCUCCUUAGGGAGCUCACAGUCAAUGUGAGGAGGAUGCACAACGAGCAUCUCAGGUGGUGAGCACUAAGGAGGAAGAAUAGUGGGAGGAAACGGACGAGCACCGUUUACUUUGAGAGGCACCCAAAACAUGUUGACGCGUGGCUAGGUGGAUAGACGGUGACAGAUGGGCGUGCGACAAAGCAAGGAGAGCAGCGCCUUAGCAACAGACCGUGAGUGGGGGCUCCGCAGGCAUCGGCUAUAAAAUUCUUUCACCUUUAUGGUGCAUUUGAAAUCUUUUCAAAUUAAAAAUAUUGUAGGGGAAGGGAAGGACCAUAUGUCACAAAAAUGAUGGUGUUCUACAAAUCAGGAAAAAUGCAGUGAACGCGAAGCGUCGGGAACGUCCCCGUUAUCGUGCACGUGCAGCCCCUGCCCCUCCUGGUGGUGCCUACUUCUUGUCGAUGCAUCUGAUUCAUCGCUUUGUAUUUGCUUUCCUGGGAACCCCGCAAGGGCAAUUUUUGUUCCCACCGGUGAUGGAAUUUUGGUGCUGGGAGCCGUGUUUGUCGUCCUCCCCUGCAGACAACCCUCCUCCCCAUCUGUAGUAGGAAAUCGUGGCCCCUAAAAGGAAAGGAAGCUGCCCACAGGCCCAUGGUCCUAAUAGGCGUGCACGUGCCCCAGCACCCAGCAUCCAGGCCAGUGCUCGGCAGGCAUUCUAGAGACUUUUUAGGCAACUGUGAAAGGUCCGGUUCUGGCGGUGGACAGCCAAGGCGCUGGCCCCUCUGAGCCUCCGUUGUCCUCAUCCAUGCAAUGGGGAUCCCAAGAGGGCUUCUGCCUUUUGGGCUGUGAGAGGCUUAAAUGGUUUUGGCUCUUCCCGCAGCCCUGGGAGCUAGCUAGUGCUCAGUGAGCAGGAGCUGCACCAUGCACCUGAAAACCGGGCCUUCUGUGUCCCCCGUUGUCGCUGUUGUAAAGAGGCCCGGCCUCCGGGCGUCCGUGUGCCUCCCCCCUGCACCUUGGAUCUCCCACACGCAUCUCUUCCGUCUCCCCUAUGCGCGAUUCCCCACGACUUGAUGCCAAACAGAAAAAAAAUCUGUAUUUUCAGAAUAUGCUUUGUGAGCUCUCAAGCCGUUUCCCCUCCACUUCCUGACUAUGUGACCUUGUUUCUUAACCUGCGACAGCCUCCACGUGCCUCUCUGUAAAAAGGGGCAAUACCAGAGCCUCUUACCUAACUGGGGGGUUGGGAGGAUUCGGUGAUGUCAUGCGUGGAAAGCACCCAGCAGGGAGCCCAGCAUUGCACAAUAAAUACAGGUUAUCAUUGUUAUUCCUUUGGUGUCACACCCCCCACAUGAGGAUGCUCCCCGCCACCUCCGGCCUUGGGCUCCACCUAGGUUCCCGCCAUUCUCUUCCCUGGUGCUUCUGCCCCCGCUGCUGGCCUUCUCUGCACAGAUGCUCCUCUUAAUGCCGAGCACGCACAGAUUUUGCACAGUAGCGAAGCGUGGCUUGUCCCUGCGAGCACCCUCUUGUAUCUGGCCCUACUGACCUGGACUCUCCAGCUCGGCCCCCCUGUGCACCAGCCCCCAACUCCCUUGGCAAAAUAGCAAGAAAAGAGAAGCCUCCCCCCACCAGCCCUUCCUCGGGGAGCAGAGUGGACCAUGAUGAGAGUAUAUAAGGCGUCGUAUUUAUUCACAAAUCCCAGUACAGCCCCCUUACGGACUCAGGAAGUCUGUCCCCCCCACCCCCAGGUCCCCCAGGUCAUUUCAGCCAGUAUGACAACAGGAAUGUCAGUCUGCUGAGUGAGGCCAGUGCAUCAGUUUAGAGAAUGAUGUUGGCGAUGCUCUGGAAGAGAGGAGAGAGGGAAUGAAUGCAGGAACACAGCCCUGAGGGGAUCAAGACCUCUGCCCUCCGGCCCCCUAGAGAAAUGAGGGGGACAUUGGCAUUAGCUUCCCCGGCCUAGGAGUAGCUUAUGUUCCAGGCAAUGUCUUCAGGAAGGUGGCUCCUGGGUUCAGGAAGAACAGGGAGCCAGCCCUCCCAGGCAGGGGUGCCAGGGGCUGUGUGGGAGCCCAGGGCCUUGUCAUUUUGCCUCAGGGGAUCCCCUGGCAUCCCCACAGCCCAGGAAUAAAUGAGGCUGUGCCUUUGGGUUCUGGGCCCAACCACAGGGCUGUUCCCCACCCUCAUCCUUUUGCCCCAGUCUCAAGCAGCUGACAUGCUAAAUGCAGAGAGAAAUGCAAAACUAGGACUUCGUUUUGGGCCCAGAGUAGGGGCCAGGGUCCCACA